AAAGAGAAGGAGGAGCUAAACCUGGAGAUCCAGAAGAACCGCCUCCUGCAGCAGGAAAACCUCCAGCUGAAAACAGAUGUGGACAGACUCUCCGAGAGCCAAUCACAGCAGGCGGAGCAGAGCAAGGGGCUCCAGCAGCGACACAACGAACUCAAGAGCUCUUUAGGCUCCGCCCAGCUGGAAGUGAGUCAGUGGAUGGCGCGAUACGAUUCGCUGAUGGAGCAGCACCAGACGCUGGAUCUCACCAUGACCAAACUAGACAACCACUGUGAGCUCCUGAGUCGCCUCAAAGGGAACCUGGAGGAGGAGAACCACCACCUGCUGAGCCAGAUCAACCUGCUGAGUCAGCAGAACCACGCGCUGCUGGAGAGGAGCAUGGAGAGCAAGGAGCUGUACCACCAGGAGCAGAAGCUCUAC